GAUUUUCACGACGCCAUCGCCAUCCAUUCCAUCUAAUUGAUACAAAAGAUCAUUAUUAUUGAAUUUGGAGUUCUGAGAGCAAGUUGACAAGAAAAUCUUUCGUACUGAAGAGCAAGGAAAUCAAAUCCAAAUCUCAAAAACAAUUGGACGGACGUGCACAAGUUUUGGCGUUCCCGAGAUACGCGGAAAAGGUUUCCGUCGCGUUUUCUUGGUUGGUUUCCAUUUUUGGACAACCGUCCAAUUUUCUGCCGAUUUCGACAACUUUUUGAAUGCUUCGCGGGUUAAACAAGAGCGAGAGUUCGCGCUCUGCAAUUGACUGGUGCGUGCUCUUCACUCCGUCCCCCCACUCUCUCCUUCUCCUUCUCUCUCCAUUCCAAAGGGAUCGUCCUGGUGGGUGGGUACUUGGGGUUUCAGGCAGAGGCAAAGCCGGUGGAAUGCGACCAAUUUUUCUGGCUUCGAGACCCCUUUGCCGUGUUCCUUGGGUUUCCGAAUCUGAGAAACCUAAUGUGGACUCUCGCAGCAGAUGAAGGCCUUUGAAGAUCGUCUAAUCGCAGUCUUAAACCUUCUCUCGCACCAGACGAAUGCUUCAUAGCCUGCUCGCCUCCUUGGCAGCCAUUCGGAGGGUCUGAUUGUAGGUUAUUAUAGUUCCCUGUGGUUUCAAUGAAGGUUGUGGCCAAAGAAGAGACAGCGAAGAGACAACUAUUCAAAAGGAUCUAUCAAUUGAAGUUUGCUAUACAUCAUGACAAUACUAAUAUGUUUCAAGUAAAUCUUGGGGGACCUAAAAUUAAACGAGAAAAUAUCAAAUAUGAUGUCAAAUGUUUAAGUUGUUAGAUAAUAAAAGUGGAACAGCAGUCAGUGGCUUGGUGGUUUGCUAAAAGGAUCGUUUAUUUCACUGUGAAAUUGGGAUGAUAAUACCAUGGAUUUUGUGACAGAAUUAUGAGGUAAAAUAAUGCUAUUUGUGUGACUAUUGUGUUCGACUCACCAGGCCUUCUGAUUUUCUACAAAGAGCAAUCAGUCACUCUCUUGAAAUCCUUAUGGAUUUGUAAUUUGUAUGUAAAUGAAAUUGGUAAACUACAUGGUACACAAAAUCCAUUACUACUGAUUAAGAUUCACAAUUUAAUUCUUGACCUGGGGACUACUGCUGAAAGGAUUGAACACUAAAGUUAGAAAGACUAUGACUUUUAAUCCCCAAUUGAAUGGGUAAUUGGAAUGAACGAUUCAAACUCUAAAAGAUAUGUUAUGAG